rnacentral:rRNA from 1 species
AUUGAACGCUGGCGGCAGGCCUAACACAUGCAAGUCGAGCGGAUGAAGAGAGCUUGCUCUCUGAUUUAGCGGCGGACGGGUGAGUAAUGCCUAGGAAUCUGCCUGGUAGUGGGGGAUAACGUUCCGAAAGGAACGCUAAUACCGCAUACGUCCUACGGGAGAAAGCAGGGGACCUUCGGGCCUUGCGCCAUCAGAUGAGCCUAGGUCGGAUUAGCUAGUUGGUGAGGUAAUGGCUCACCAAGGCUACGAUCCGUAACUGGUCUGAGAGGAUGAUCAGUCACACUGGAACUGAGACACGGUCCAGACUCCUACGGGAGGCAGCAGUGGGGAAUAUUGGACAAUGGGCGAAAGCCUGAUCCAGCCAUGCCGCGUGUGUGAAGAAGGUCUUCGGAUUGUAAAGCACUUUAAGUUGGGAGGAAGGGCAGUAAGUUAAUACCUUGCUGUUUUGACGUUACCGACAGAAUAAGCACCGGCUAACUUCGUGCCAGCCGCCGCAGUAAUAC